CGUAGGGUGCAGGCGUUAAUCGGAAUUACUGGGCGUAAAGCGUGCGCAGGCGGUUUGUUAAGACAGGUGUGAAAUCCCCGAGCUCAACUUGGGAAUUGCGCUUGUAACUGGCAAGCUAGAGUGUGGCAGAGGGGGGUGGAAUUCCACGUGUAGCAGUGAAAUGCGUAGAUAUGUGGAGGAACACCGAUGGCGAAGGCAGCCCCCUGGGUUAACACUGACGCUCAUGCACGAAAGCGUGGGGAGCAAACAGGA
rnacentral:rRNA from 1 species